rnacentral:rRNA from 1 species
GACGAACGCUGGCGGCGUGCCUAAUACAUGCAAGUAGAACGCUGAAGGAGGAGCUUGCUUCUCUGGAUGAGUUGCGAACGGGUGAGUAACACGUAGGUAACCUGCCUGGUAGCGGGGGAUAACUAUUGGAAACGUUAGCUAAUACCGCAUAAUAGUAGAUGUUGCAUGACAUUUGCUUAAAAGGUGCAAUUGCAUCACUACCAGAUGGACCUGCGUUGUAUUAGCUAGUUGGUGAGGUAACGGCUCACCAAGGCAACGAUACAUAGCCGACCUGAGAGGGUGAUCGGCCACACUGGGACUGAGACACGGCCCAGACUCCUACAGGAGGCAGCAGUAGGGAAUCUUCGGCAAUGGACGGAAGUCUGACCGAGCAACGCCGCGUGAGUGAAGAAGGUUUUCGGAUCGUAAAGCUCUGUUGUAAGAGAAGAACGAGUGUGAGAGUGGAAAGUUCACACUGUGACGGUAUCUUACCAGAAAGGGACGGCUAAAUACGUG